AACGCUAGCUACAGGCUUAACACAUGCAAGUCGAGGGGAAACGACAUCGAAAGCUUGCUUUUGAUGGGCGUCGACCGGCGCACGGGUGAGUAACGCGUAUCCAACCUGCCCACCACUUGGGGAUAAUCUUGCGAAAGUAAGACUAAUACCCAAUGAUAUCUCUAGAAGACAUCUGAAAGAGAUUAAAGAUUUAUCGGUGAUGGAUGGGGAUGCGUCUGAUUAGCUUGUUGGCGGGGUAACGGCCCACCAAGGCGACGAUCAGUAGGGGUUCUGAGAGGAAGGUCCCCCACAUUGGAACUGAGACACGGUCCAAACUCCUACGGGAGGCAGCAGUGAGGAAUAUUGGUCAAUGGGCGAGAGCCUGAACCAGCCAAGUAGCGUGAAGGAUGAAGGUCCUACGGAUUGUAAACUUCUUUUAUACGGGAAUAAAGUAUCCUACGUGUAGGAUUUUGUAUGUACCGUAUGAAUAAGCAUCGGCUAACUCCGUGCCAGCAGCCGCGGUAAUACGGAGGAUGCGAGCGUUAUCCGGAUUUAUUGGGUUUAAAGGGAGCGUAGGUUGACAUAUAAGUCAGCUGUGAAAGUUUACGGCUCAACCGUGAAAUUGCAGUUGAUACUGUAUGUCUUGAGUGUACAAGAGGUGGGCGGAAUUCGUGGUGUAGCGGUGAAAUGCUUAGAUAUCACGAAGAACUCCGAUUG
rnacentral:rRNA from 1 species